AAGUUGGAAGUGAAAUCCUAUGGCUUAACCAUAGAACUGCUUCCAAAACUGUCUAUCUAGAAUAUGGGAGAGGUAGAUGGAAUUUCUGGUGUAGGGGUAAAAUCCGUAGAGAUCAGAAGGAAUACCGAUUGCGAAGGCGAUCUACUGGAACAUUAUUGACGCUCAGAUGCGAAAGCGUGGGGAGCAAACAGGAUUAGAUACCCUGGUAGUCCACGCCCUAAACGAUGCACACUAGUUGUUGCCUUGCUAGACAAGGCAGUAAUGCAGUUAACACAGUAAGUGUGCCGCCUGGGGAGUACGGUCGCAAGAUUAAAACUCAAAGGAAUAGACGGGGACCCGCACAAGCGGUGGAGCAUGUGGUUUAAUUCGACGAUACGCGAAGAACCUUACCUGGCCUUGACAUAGAGAGAACUUACUAGAGAUAGUUUGGUGCUAGCUUGCUAGAACUUUCAUACAGGUGCUGCACGGCUGUCGUCAGCUCGUGUCGUGAGAUGUUGGGUUAAGUCCCGCAACGAGCGCAACCCUCGUGUUUAGUUACUAACAGUUCGGCUGAGGACUCUAGACAGACUGCCUGGGUAACCAGGAGGAAGGUGAGGACGACGUCAAGUCAUCAUGGCCCUUACGGCCAGGGCUACACACGUGCUACAAUGGGGUAUACAAAGAGCCGCAAUACCGCAAGGUGGAG
rnacentral:rRNA from 1 species